UCACAGAUGCAAGCGGACACAGAAGAGCGCCUGCCGUAGGAGCGCCUAAGCUAGAAAGAACAGCCUGAAUAUGUCACUUGUAUUAGUGCAAGAUAAGGAUGCGCAUGAUGCUGGAAGUGACGGGCAUUUGUAUGAGAUUGUACCAUUUCCUGAGCAGUUAUACACAGUGGUGGCUUACAGAUGACAGUUAACUACACUUGUUGAAAAGUCCAAGAAAUGGCUCAAGACAUGUUUUAUGACAUGGUCACAAUGGGCGAAGAGAAGGAGAUGUUUGGAAGACUAGUAAAAUAAAUGGAAGAAACAUAUGACAAAAUAAAGAUGGUAUCGUAUAUAUAA